rnacentral:rRNA from 1 species
AUGUUCAGGUGGUCGGAUGCUGAGGUGGGCAUUGAUGUUUCUAGGGCUCCAAGGGUGCUUGUGAUGUCCAAGGACUUUCUGCGCAGCAAGUCAGAGUUUCUCAUCUCCGAGGUGGGAUUGGAGCCGGCCUACAUUGCUCAAAGGCCGGCAAUUCUCACUCUUAGCCUAGAUGGCCGUCUUAGGCCCCGACACUACAUUAUGAAGUUUCUCAAGGAUAAUGGAUUACUGGAGAAUGAUCGGAGCUACUAUGUCGCAGUCGUAGUGAGUGAUAACGAUUUCAUGAAGAAGUACAUAUGCCCUUACCAGGAAGCUGUGCCGCACCUCGCUCAAGACUAUGCUGCUGCUUGCAAAGGGGAAGUGCCGACUAUUUUCAGAUUCACAUGA